UACGAGUACCCCAAGCGUUAUCCGGAAUUAUUGGGCGUAAAGGGUGUGUAGGCGGCUUUAUUAGUCUUUCGUUAAAGCUCUGGGCUUAACCCAGAAAAUGCGAAAGAAACGGUAGAGCUAAGAGAGUGUGAGAGGCUAGUGGAACUCAUGGUGUAGGGGUGAAAUCCGUUGAUAUCAUGGGGAACACCAAAAGCGAAGGCAGCUAGCUGGCACAUAUCUGACGCUGAGACACGAAAGCGUGGGUAGCGAACGGG
rnacentral:rRNA from 1 species